rnacentral:lncRNA from 1 species
UUAGCCCAGGUGGUAAGCGGGUGAACCCCAAACCUUUUGGUUUAGGGUUCAAAUCCUCUCAGCAACAAAUAAAGGUGAGGCACUGUAGCAUCACUGUAGCGCGUUGACGGCACUGUAGCGGGUCUGACUUUCGUUGACCCGCGUUGACCACGCGAUAUAUCGCCGAAAAAUCGGCGAUUUAUCGCCAAAUCACCUAUAUAUCACGAGAAAUAGGCGAUUUCUCGCGAGAAAUCCCGAAAUAUCGUCGGAC